UACGGGGGGAGCAAGCGUUGUUCGGAUUUACUGGGCGUAAAGGGCGCGUAGGCGGUCGUGACAAGUCACUUGUGAAAUCUCCGGGCUUAACUCGGAACGGUCAAGUGAUACUGUCGGACUAGAGUACAGAAGGGGCAACUGGAAUUCUCGGUGUAGCGGUGAAAUGCGCAGAUAUCAGGAGGAACACCGAUGGCGAAGGCAGGUCUCUGGGCAUUAACUGACGCUGAGGAGCGAAAGCAUGGGGAGCGAACAGG
rnacentral:rRNA from 1 species